rnacentral:rRNA from 1 species
CAUAGCGUAUAUUAAAGUUGCUGCGGUUAAAAAGCUCGUAGUUGCGAUUUCUGAUGCGAACCGGGAGCCCACCCGAGGCUCGCCCUCGUCUCCGGACGGGAGCGGCGCCUAAGGGGUCUAAGGCGUCUCUCCCGCUUUCUCGUUCGGCGGCCGCGGCGGCGAGAGGUCGAGGGGGGGUCGGUCGCGAGUAGUCACUGCUCGUUCCCUUCUCUCGUCUCCUUCUCUCAUCCGUCGUCUCCCCGGAAGGGUUCGGUCGCCAGUGAAGCGCGAGUUCCGGGAAUGAAAAGAGUAGUGGUAGCGGCACUAAAAGUAGAAGUACGAAUGCGACCAGCGGCGGGGGAAGGGCGUGCUGCAGCCGCCUCCAGUAGCGCGUCGUCUCCUCCUCGUUGGAAAAAGGAA